GGCAGUAUGCUUGGUAAAAGUCAUCGCCAUUCUCUAAUCUUGAGUACCCAGGGACACGAUACACUGCGGAAGGCUGCAGGGACCUCUGCCCAGGAAAGCCAGGCUUGCAUGAAGGAAAUGAUUUCCUAUGAUUCUGCUUACUGCUUAAAAAAAUUAAUCAAGUUUUCUGCCUGACAAGAGCCAGAAAAACUUCAUCUCUUUUACAAGAAACAUUGAGAUUCCUGUAAAAUUAAGAAAUCACACAAUUUGAUGGUCUACAUUAUCUAAAGCAAAUGAGACUUCUAUUUGGAACAAAGACUACCUUGUUGGGAAAUGAGUCUGCAAGUUAAAGUGUUUUCUGUUUUCUAAGGAUAAUGGUCUCCAGCUUCGUCAAUGUUCCUGCAAAGGACAUGAUGCUGACUUUGAAGAUGCAAGCUUCCACAUCUACAGCCUCAAGGAAACAAAUUCAGCCAACCAACUGAGGGAGCUUUCCUUGUCCUGCCUCAAGAUGAGAUCACAGUCUGCCCAACACCAUGAUUUAGGCCUUGUGACACCUGAGCUCAGAUGGAAAAGAAUGGUGUUACUGAGACCCUUCAAGAUUCCCAGUGUAAUUCAAUAAAGAAAAGGCAACACAAAGGGGUUGUAUAGAAUUCGCCACAUUAUGGACCCAUGUCAUAGAGAGAAUCCACGGUGCAUUUGUUAGCUGCAUUUAAAUGACAACACUUUCAGAUCCAAGAUUUAUUUGGGAUAAAAAUUUACCUGGAUGCAAGGCUAUUCAGAAUGAAGAUUAAUGAUAUGGUUUGGCUGUGUCCCCACCCAAACUUCAUCUUGAAUUCCCACGUGUUGUGAGAGGGACCUGAUGAUGCAUAUCAUAAAUUAUUACUCACCCCAUGUUCCCACCCUCGAGAGACCUCCAAACAAUCACCAUGCCACAGUGAACAUUCAGUAACAAAAAUUCAGCCAGGGUUUUCACCAGCAUGAAUGGCAGUGAUUCCAAUCAGGAAAACAGAAAGAGGAGAGUUCAGAGCCACCUAGAAUGGCUCUUGCAAGAUACGAAAUCAAGGCAGCAGCAACAGGGCUGAACAUUCCUCAUCCCUAACUCUCCCUUCACCAGUAGGAAACCCAGGAUAACUGCAAUCACCGCAGGCCCAUCUGGCCUGAAGUUCUACUACUAGUAGCCCUCCAUGGGACCUUCUUAAGGAAGCAUGUCAACUCAGGUAAGGGAUGUAAGGGGAUGGAUGACCCUUUGAGGCCAAAGUUGGAGCAAAAAACACCAGAUGUUCCUGUGCACUGCUCCUAAGAGAUGGUUCUGAAGACCAGUUCGGGGAGAGGUCAAAAUACUGGACAGAAUCUCAGCAACAUGGAACCUCAAACUAAGUGACAGUCACAGACAACUCUUCCCCAAAGAAAAUAAGCACAGACAUGGUUUGUGGUAAGCAGAAUUAUAAAGAUGAAUUCCCAUCUCCCUGUCAGAUUACCAGUAUGGUAAAUUACCAGAUUACCUGGUUAUUUAUUCAAACACUAAUACAGUUAUUGCCUUGAUGGAAACAUACAGAUACAAUUAAAAUCCCAAGUACCAAAUAAAUUGACCUUAAGACAAAGACUAAGUAAAUCACAUGAGCCCUCUACAAGCAGAGAGUUUUUCUCCAGCUGGUAGCAGAAGCCAGAGAUUUGAAGCAUAGGAAGUAUUCAACACAUUAUUGCUGGCCUGAAAAUGGAAGGGGCCACAUAACGAGGGAAACCGGUGGCCUCUAGAAGCAGGGAGCAGUCCCCUGCUGACAGACAGCAAGCCAAGACCUCAGUUCUACAAUUGCAAGACACUCAAUUCUGCUAAGGACAAAAAUGAGCUUGGAAGUGAACUCUGAGCUUCAGGUGAGAACACGGCCAAACAACACCUUGAUUUCAGCUUAAACAAAGAAUGCAGCCACUCCAUGCCAGAAUUCUGACCUGUAGAAAUUUGAGCUAAUAAAUAGAUGUUUUAAUA
rnacentral:lncRNA from 1 species